rnacentral:lncRNA from 1 species
GCCUGCAGGGGCACUCUCCCGGGACAGGCCACACACCAGCCUCUGCGAGCCAGGAAGGAGCCUCCCCAGAAACGGAACCAGCGGGAACCUUGACCUGAGACUUGCAGCCUCCAGAACUGUGAGAAAAUAGAUUUCUGUUGUUUCAAGCCCCCGAGCCUGUGGUAUUCUGUCCCAGCAGCCUGAGCAGGCUGAAAUGGGAGGAAACUGCAGCCGAGUCAGCUCCUCCGACUCUAGGCCGACUGUUCUUCACUGUAUGACAUGUGACUCACCAGAUAAAGCCACACACGUCAUUCUUUUAAAAUUCUCUACUCUGUGAGUGCAAUGAAAUUAGUAUUUUUCCACAAGUCCUUUCCUUUCUCUGAUGUGUAAAGUAAGAGGCAGAGAGAUCCUGCUCUAGUCUCUGGGCCCUCCCUCUGCUGGCAAUGUUCUUUUUCUGUUUUAACCAUCUGAGCAGCACACGACCCCCCUGUCUUGGGGCAGUGACGUGUCUGUGGUCAGUGCAGGACCUGGUGCUGGCUCUCUCGUGGCCAGGACCGACAGUGGUCAUGCCUGGACCCCGCUGUGUGUCCUGCCCUGUUCAGUUUGCCAGAACAAGCUUUUGGUUCCAUUUUCAACACCUCUCUAGUCUGAUCAGCCCUGACCUCCACUGCAGGCUGCGUCCUUCCCUGCCUGUACUAGUGCAGAGCUCCUGGUGGGUUCGCACCUUCUCCCCCAGCUCCUCCCUCUCCAGGUAGCAGCCAGGAUGGCACUUUCAAACCAUGUCAGAUCACGUUGCUGCUGUGCUCAGGACCCUCCCAUGACUUCCUUGUCCCUCAGAAUAAAAUGCAGAUUCCUCCCCCACACCCACAGGUGUCCCCCUGUCCCCACCCCACACCUCACCUGCACUUGCCAACUCCAGCCAUGCGGCUCUUACUGACCUUCCUCAAUGUGCUGGGAACCUCCUGCCUCAGGGGCUUUGCUGUUCCACUGCCUGGGCUUUACUCAGAUGGAACUUUCUUUGUAAAAAUUAUUGAUUUCUA